UACGUAGGGUGCAAGCGUUAAUCGGAAUUACUGGGCGUAAAGCGUGCGCAGGCGGCUUUGCAAGACAGAUGUGAAAUCCCCGGGCUUAACCUGGGAACUGCAUUUGUGACUGCAUGGCUGGAGUGCGGCAGAGGGGGAUCGGAAUUCCGCGUGUAGCAGUGAAAUGCGUAGAUAGUGCGGAGGAACACCGGAUGGCGAAGGCAAUCCCCUGGGCCUGCACUGACGCUCAUGCACGAAAGCGUGGGGAGCAAACAGG
rnacentral:rRNA from 1 species